UCCGGGAUGGUGGGGACACUGUUGGGACCGCCUCUGCUAAAGAGGAGGAAGGGAAUGGGCAACGGUAGGUCAGCAUGCCCCGAAUUAUCUGGGCUACACGCGGGCUACAAUGGGUGGGACAAUGGGUAUCGACACCGAAAGGUGAAGGCAAUCUCCUAAACCCAUCCGUAGUUCGGAUUGUGGGCUGCAACUCGCCCACAUGAAGCUGGAAUCUGUAGUAAUCGUGUCUCAAAAUGGCACGGUGAAUAUCGUCCCUGCUCCUU
rnacentral:rRNA from 1 species